rnacentral:lncRNA from 1 species
AAUACCUUUUGGAAUAAAAAAACAAAAGAAAAGGAAAACCUCUCCCUUCCUCUAUUCUGGCCCGAAGGCCCACUCCUCUUCUCCUCUCUGACCCAGCUGGAAGCAAGCCGCGCGCCCUUCCCCUUCCCCCUCCCGUCGGCCCACACGCGCAACCGACCCAGAGCCGUUGGCCAGCCCAGCAGCGUGUCCCCUUUCCUUUCGCUCUCUGGCGAACCGGCCCCGCGCCGUUUAGUCGCUGCCAUCCAGGCCCCACAUGUCAGCGUCACUCCCUCCCUUUCCUUCUUCCUCCUGGAGCCGUAUGCGGCAGGGACUUCCAGAGGUGAAAUCGAUCCCGGGUCCUCGGGAU